CAGCCGCCGCGGUAAUACGUAGGGUGCGAGCGUUAAUCGGAUUUACUGGGCGUAAAGCGUGCGCAGGCGGCCCGUUAAGACAGGUGUGAAAUCCCUGGGCUCAACCUAGGAAUUGCGCUUGUGACUGGCAGGCUCGAGUACGGUAGAGGGGGGUGGAAUUCCUGGUGUAGCAGUGAAAUGCGUAGAGAUCAGGAGGAACACCGAUGGCGAAGGCAGCCCCCUGGGCCUGUACUGACGCUCAUGCACGAAAGCGUGGGGAGCAAACAGGAUUAGAUACCCUGGUAGUCCACGCCCUAAACGAUGGGUACUAGCCGUUUGGUGCGCGAUAGCGCUGAGUGGCGAAGCUAACGCGUGAAGUACCCCGCCUGGGGAGUACGGCCGCAAGGUUGAAACUUAAAGGAAUUGGCGGG
rnacentral:rRNA from 1 species